UCAGAUUUUUUUUGUCUCUUGCUUUCGCGCGUGCUCUCUCCCUCUCUCUCUUGAGCAUGGAGCGAAAGUUGCAUGGAGACACACAGCGUAAGACGCGUGUAGUGGAGAGAAUGGUGGGAGAGCAAGAGAUAAAAGAGAAGGAAACGGCAACAAACUCAUACCAAGCGAGAUCAAAACAGAUUUUCCACCGAUUAGUUUACGAGUUGUUUUAGGCAAAGGAAAAAAAGGGCAUCUUGACAAUAUUGUAACCAAAAACCACUGCAUCGAUGCAACAGAGCCGACUCGGAGCCCUUGCACGGAGUUGGAGAGGCAGAAAUUAAUGUACAUUGCAUGCACUCCACGUAACGCUCCGGAGUGAUGCCUUUGUGAGUGUUUUUUUUUUCGUACUGCGAGCUAAAAAUAGCAGCAGUGUUUGAUCGCGCUCCAGAAAUAGGCAGUGGGGUAACACAAGUAUAAAAAGGACUGCAAUUCUGAGAAACCUUGGACAUUGCUGAGCAAGGGCUCGCUGCAUAGCUUCAUGGAAAUUAAAACGCAUCUCUCUCUCGAGCAGAAAUCUCACAUAUCGUAAAUAUGACAACCACAAAAGCAAGACCAAACUCAUUUGUCUGACGGCGCUGUUGAGCCAUUUUACAUUUUCUGUCUUCGCUACAACUGAAAGUCCCCGAAUGGAAAUCCCUACCAUCAGAUGAACACCGGCUGAUGUUGGUUUAAUAAAUAAAGAGGACACUAGAUGAAAGCAUGCAUGGGAAAGGAGUGCCUUGGGGUGCUAAAGGAGCUGUGCACCGGAGCAGACAAGAGGGAAACACACAGGCUGCACAGUUGGGCUGAAAACACUAUGUGGCGUCAAGGGGAGCCUGGGCUACUGCUUGACCUGCGUCAAAAUAACUCUCAAAUAGGCAUAGCUUUUUUCUAUACCGCCCGCAGAUGGACGCAGCAGCGCAAGUAGUCUACUUCUUAGAGGCAUUCGAAAUGCAUCCUUAAGUUUCGUACUCAUAACUCCGCAUGACAGUUUUCCCGCCUGCUUUGUUCGUACAAUUCAGUGUGCAGUUAGAAGCUGAAGAUAAUAUGGCAAUAGGCGGGCUGACUUGGAUUACUCUUCCGCCCACGUCAUUUUCAUUAUACAGCGCUGCAACACACUGUUUUUAUUUUUGCUGCUAUGAACUGAAAUACUGUUCACCUGCUGGCAAAUAUGUAUUCACUUUGUAUUUAUCAGUGUUAUCUACAACUGUUAUAACAAGCAAUCACAAAAUUUCGUCUGCCAGUACUCUUGACAGAUUAAUAACUCCAAACCUGCAGCACACAGAUGUCGCCGAAAUUUGGCAGAAAUCUGUCGAAGUGCAUGCUGUAGAGUAAGAAUACUUGCGCGUAAGAAACAACAGUUGGUAGGCGCAGCGAUCACGGUACGUCGUGCCAAAGAGCACUGUUACACUGUAACAAUGUAUCUCGUAAGAGUCGACGUGAAUGUCAUGUUUAUAUGAGUGUUUUCUAUCCGAAUAUCCGUUGUUCUAUUAAUCUUUAUUGAAUACCUACAAAGAUACAUAAUCCCCAUUAAACAGACACUGAAACUGGCAAAAUAUUGCUACCAGGCAUGUAAAAUAGUAUUCAGCAAGCUUACAUGGGAAACGAAAAAACGUUGUUGAUAACCUUGACCUUAAGACUAUGUGGCUUUCCUUUAUUAAGUAGUCAAGACAUGCAAAGACCUUCUUAAAUAAUGCAAUGUGGAUGUGUAAUUUUGGUGGCAAAACAGAUUUCUCGGAGUCGUGACUGCUUUAGUGAGUAAUAUGGGCGCGUUGGCUGCGUCAGGAGAUGCAGUCGCUGUGCGCUGCAGACGGAAGGAGGAGAAUCGUGACUGAAUGCUGAAGACGUCCGCAAACGAAACGACCACCCAAUAAAAUCCUCUGGGCAAUUAAUGGCAUCUGGGCAAGAUAUUUACACAUGUUAUCUCUAUAGCCUUUUACUCUUUGCGUCGAGCCACCUCAACCCUCAACCUCCCUUUGCACCACCGAAGACAUGAGAAGAAUAUCUGUGAUUAAGGGGUGGGAGGGAGGAUCUUGGUUUGGGAUGAGUUCCGACUGGUGUGUGUGUGGGGAUCGAGAGAGAGUGUGUGUGUGUGUGUGUGUGUGAGAGAGAGAGAGAGAGAGAGAGAGAGAGAGUAUACCAUGCGGGGAGGGGGGUCCAGAUAUAGAUCGUGACCCUCCCACCUAGUACAGUUUCUUGCAUUUAGUUCCAAAAAGGGAUUGCCAGAGACUGUGGUGAAUUUUGACAAAUGAUUACUAUGUGGAUAUAAGAACAGGAAAUUCUCUGGAAAAGUCAUUAUCCGUGAUCAGAUGAAGCGCAGAACUUUGGCACUGCUUUCUAUAUCUAUGCUGAAGAUAAGGAUUUCAUACUCGAUGACGUAUACAUCCUUUAUAUAUGUGAUGUACAGUAGUCAGCAGUCAUGUACGUUCUAAUGGUUUACAAAAACUUCUGGAAGGAGUUUCAACAGACGUCUCAGCCUCUCCAUCGUGCUUCCCCAUGCACACUGUUCACCUCGGUCUCUGUGGUAGAAAACCGGAUUACCUGGAGGAAACCCACACAUACACGGGAAGAACAAGUGAAACUCUGCAUUGACAGUCACCUGAACUUAGAACUGACCUGGAGCUGUGAGACAGCAAACCGUGCUGCCUGCUCGCAAACCUCUUCAAUGGUGAAACCUGGUCUGUAGAUCCACAGAGCCAUCUGAGGUACCAUCUCCAACAUGUGGCUUCCAUCAUCUGUAAAUGAGAGCAAGACAGAUGAAGGGACGAUAUGGACAUGUGCUGAGCUCCAGAAUAAAGUGCAGUGGAAUCAGUCAACACAGAUUCAUACUAAAUAGAGAUCGUUUUGCUGUGGACUGACUGUUAGUGAGACGGAUGAAGAAAGAACAAUCAUCAUGAGCAGCCAUUUUAGAAGCCAUUUAAGAAAAUCCAUAAGAAGUUGGAUCUGCCUUGUGCAGUCUGUUUAUCUCAGUUCCAUAUGUCAAGAGGCCAUUUCUUCAGCUUAAUCAAAGAACAACAUGACAUCUGAGUCUUAACAGAUAUUUAAACUUCUGUUCCUAAAAGCUCUGGUAAUGCGUGGAUUUCUCUAAUUGGCCAUGCUGAACAAAAUCCAGUGGUUGUGUUUUUGCAGAAACCUAAAAAGAGGAUAUAUGCAGAUGACCGUCUUGAACACUUGCAUAUGGAUAUGGAUAACUGUCUUGAACACGUGCAUAUGGAUAUGGAUAACUGUCUUGAACACGUGCAUAUGGAUAUGGAUAACUGUCUUGAACACGUGCAUAUGGAUAUGGACCCUGUCUUGAACACAUGCAUAUGGAUAUGGAUAACUGCGCUGAAAUUCACUUAGGAUUAUUCUAUACACGUCGAGUGAAGCUGGUUAAUUAAGGACAACUUUGACACCGUCAGGUAUUUACGUCUCUGUCUCUAUAGGGCUUGAGUUAGGAGCAGUUUGAAGACAUUGAGAACGUUGCCAUUUCCUGUCGUUUCUUGAUACACAUUAUACGUGCAAAAAUGUUUUAAAUAUAUGAAAAAACCACAAAAAAAUGUAAUUAAAAAACAGAAAAAAAUGUGUACAAUUAAAUUCUGAAGGAUGGAGUUAAAGAUUUGGCCCUCGGAGUUUGGCUUGUUAGAGCACGUUUGUCUGUACAGGGACUGUGUGUGUGUGUGUGGGGGGGGGGGGGGGUACUGGAAGCUCUCACACGUUGUUCUACACAAUAAUGUUGGUGAAAACGUGUAAAUGGUUGUGGUAUCUUUUUUCUCUUUAAAAAAGAUGUAAUGUCUGCAAAUGUGUUUUAUGUGAAUACGUGGCUUUUUCUAUGAAAGUAUAGUAAAGAAGUCACGAGUUUUGUUUCUGAGAUUUUGAGGCGCAGCAAAACAAACAUUAGGUUGAAACUCACACAGUGUUUUGUACGGUUACAACGUCCACGGCUUACGAUCAAAUACAUUCUCAGACAUAGUGUAAGAAUAUUAUUGAGAGACACGUAGACAAUUAAAAAUGUAAUGCACAAAGCAGUCAAAAGCAGAAGAAAAAUGAGAGCUGUGAAAACAUCAAUAUUGGAGGUGAGGUGAGAGAGACUCAGGGCAAGGAUGUAUAUGUGCAUGUCUCCAUCUUAAAAUACUGAAUGUCAAUGAUUUUAUUUAACAUAAAAAUAAACAAGCGGCAACCUGUAGAAAAAGGCCAAGUCUGUAUGGACAAGUCUGUGUGUCUCAACACACACUGAUCCAUGAUGUGAUCCAAAACUCAGCUACAGUAUCAGUGUUUCUUUCAUUAUCAUAUUUGAUUUAUAUAUAUAUAUAUAUAUAUAUAUAUAUAUAUAUAUGUAUGUAUGUAUGUAUAGAGAGAGAGAGAGAGAGAGAGAGAGAGAGAGAGAGAGAGAGAGACCAUGCAUCAAUAUACUUUAGAAUAUACAACUGAAAUGGUGCUGUAACUGACCUGGUAAAGAUGGUGCUGUAAUAAUGUCUUUAUCUUUGCUGUUCUUUAUAUCUCAUGCUGAGAAAAAAUUGUAGCCAAAUCGAGCACCGUACGUGAUAAUGUCCUGUUUA